rnacentral:tRNA from 1 species
AGUAAAUUUUUCAGGUCUUCUAAACUUGUUUAGAGAUUUUUCUCAUUUACUU